GGACUACGGUGGCCGCGAGAGUGGGGGUGCUGCUGGGGCUCUGUCGGGCUGGGGUCGCCAUGGGCAACCUGUUCGGCCGCAAGAAGCAGAGCCGGGUGACGGAGCAGGACAAGGCCAUCCUGCAACUGAAGCAGCAGCGGGACAAGCUGAAGCAGUACCAAAAGAGGAUCACCCAGCAGCUGGAGCGGGAGCGGGAGAUUGCCCGGCAGCUCCUGCGGGACGGCCGGAAGGAACGGGCCAAGCUGCUGCUUAAGAAGAAGCGAUACCGGGAGCAGCUCCUGGACAAGACGGAGAACCAGAUCACCAGCCUGGAGACAAUGGUCCAGAGUAUUGAGUUCACCCAGAUUGAAAUGAAGGUGAUUGAAGGGCUGCAGUUUGGAAAUGAGUGUCUGAAUAAGAUGCACCAGGUGAUGUCCAUAGAAGAAGUGGAACGGAUCCUGGACGAGACCCAGGAGGCUGUGGAGUAUCAGCGGCAAAUAGAUGAGCUGUUGGCAGGAAGCUUCACUCAGGAGGACGAAGAUGCCAUCCUGGAGGAACUGAACGCCAUCACUCAGGUAAUGGGCCCCCCAGGAUGAAGCGCAGUCACUCAGGUGAUAGGACCACCGGGACUGAGCACAAUCACUCAGGUGCUAGGACCCUCAGGACUGAGCACAAUCACUCAGGUUAAGGACCCCCAGGACUGAGCACAAUCACUCAGGUGCUAGGACCCCCCGGACUGAGCACAAUCUUUCAGGUUAAGGACCCCUGGGACUGAGCACAAUUACUCAGGUUAAGGACCCCCAGGACUGAGCACAAUCACUCAGAUGCUAGGACCCGCAGGAGGCCUCUGCCCAUCGUGGUUGUUUGCCUUGGGCAACCACCUGCAUUGGGGUUCACUUGAGCGCACAGUCCUGGUUUUGCAGCUGGUUUUCCUUCCUGAAAUGACUAACAUUUGUGCCCAACUGAGGCUCAUUCUCCACGUCCACCUGGCUGACAGCAGGCCUGGAAAGAACAGUUGAGGGUGGUUUACCCGAGUGUUGCAGGCAGCUGGAGUGACCUGUAACCAAGUGUGCCUGGACAGGGCAGAAAUGCCAAUUCCUAGCCCCUUCGGCCCCUUCCUUCCCCGGUGGACCAUAAUGUGGUUUUUGAUCACAUGGGUGUUUUUUCCGCACUUGUGUAUGGGUCACUCACUGUCAUGCACCUGGCCUGCACACGUUGGUGCUGGAGGCCCCUAAUGGGCUGGACUGUCACGUCCAGGCCCUGAGGUCUGUGUUUACUCCCUGAUGGAGGAAGCCUCCAUCUCUGGGCCUCUGGCUCAGCGUGCCAGAUCCUGCCUUGCCCACCAGCCCACUGUGCCCACCAGCCUGCCAUCCCCGUCCUGCAGGCUGACCCAGGAAGAGCAGGUAUUAGUGCCGCUGCUCGCUGCCCUUGGUUGUCCCCUGUGCCCCUGCUAAUUUACUUCCUCCCAAGGGCCUAAGUGCCUCGUGAGCUGCCAGGGAAGGCCAGCUGGGAGGUAAAAGUGCCACAUGUUGCCCGAGAGGCAGCCCAGCGCUCACUGGGACUGCCAGCUCCACCACAGACCCGCCCCAGAGUGCUGCCACCUCAGGGAAACCAUAGCAGAGGCGCCGCUGCUGCUCCUGGCCCUUUAUGGAUGCCAGAAUGACCUGGGCGCCUGCUUCAAAGCCCACGGUCCUAGCAUCGCCUGAUCUGAGCUGAGAUCUCUGGGGAAGCCCCUCAGGCUCUGGACCGUAGGGAGAAGCUACCCUGUAGUGGCCACUUUGCCCCCCGGGUGAAUCGAGUCUCAGAGCUGCCGGAAGCUGAGGAAGAUGCACUCUGGGGCUUUUGGGCAGGAAGAUUCUGUUUGUUUUAAAUCCAGCCGAGAGCAGCUAAGUAAACAGGAUCCUUUCCUCUCCUAGAGAAAGAUAAAGGUGCACCUAACGGAUUGUAUCUCACGGCCUUUCCUCUCUGUUUCUUAUAGGAACAAAUAGAGCUGCCAGAGGUUCCUUCAGAGCCCCUUCCCGAAAAGAUCCCAG